AUUGAACGCUGGCGGCAGGCCUAACACAUGCAAGUCGAACGGAGUGGCGGCCGGGUGAGUAAUGUCUGAGAAACUGCCUGAUGGAAGGGGAUAACUACUGGAAACGGUAGCUAAUACCGCAUACUAUCAGAUGAGCCUAAGUCGGAUUAGCUAGUUGGUGGGGUAAUGGCCUACAAAGGCGACGAUCCGUAACUGGUCUGAGAGGAGGAUCAGGCACACUGGAAGUGAGACACGGUCCAGACUCCGACGGGGGGCAGCAGUGGGAAAUAGUGGACAAGGGGCGAAAGCCUGAGCCAGCCAUGCCGCGUGUGUGAAGAAGGUCUUCGGAUUGGAAAGCACUUUAAGUUGGGAGGCGUUACCAACAGAAUAAGCACCGGCUAACUUCGUGCCAGCAGCCGCGGUAAUAC
rnacentral:rRNA from 1 species